UACAGGGGGGGCAAGCGUUGUUCGGAAUUACUGGGCGUAAAGGGCUCGUAGGUGGCCAACUAAGUCAGACGUGAAAUCCCUCAGCUUAACUGGGGAACUGCGUCUGAUACUGGAUGGCUUGAGUUUGGGAGAGGGAUGCGGAAUUCCAGGUGUAGCGGUGAAAUGACGUAGAUAUCUGGAGGAACACCGGUGGCGAAGGCGGCAUCCUGGACCAACACUGACACUGAGGAGCGAAAGCCAGGGAGCAAACGGG
rnacentral:rRNA from 1 species